rnacentral:lncRNA from 1 species
CGAGCGAGAGCGGAUUGGGGCUUUGAAGAAAAACAAAGACGAAGCUUCGUUCCUCAGCAAAGUGUUCAUUUCUUUUUCGCCAGGUUUCAUUCUCUUUCUUUUUUGAUUGGAUGAUGGAAAAACCAGAAAGCUACGGCUUGAAAGCUUACCUUCUUCUCUUUUGGAGAAAGGGCUUUCUUUAUAGAUGAAGACGUUGAGUAAGGGGGGCGGAGCUUGAAGAGCGAAGCGAGCUGCGCUAGCCUAUUACGUUUUUCAGCAGCAAGCUACGGUCUAACGCUUGCCUCCGGUGGCUAACCGGGCGAAAACUCCAAAACUAGGGUUCCAAACCUUUCUCUAAUAAUCAGGUAAGCUUUCAAGCCCCUUGACUUUCUAUUAGAUUAGUUUAGUCAAGGGCGCUGUGAACUGUAAUUGUGAAAAGGUUGGAAGAUCUGGCCAAAGAAGGUGAUAGCCCUGUAGAUUCGUUCCCAUGGUUCGAUCCUUCCCAGUAAAACGCGGCGUGUUCGAAUUCUGAUCGCUUUUACGCGAGAAAGGGGGACCACCUCUAAGCCUAAGUAUUCCUCAAUGACCGAUAGCGUACAAGUACCGUGAGGGAAAGGUGAAAAGAACCCUAGUUAGGGAGUUCAAUAGAGAACCAGAGAUCCGAUGCGAACAAUCAGUCGAAGGAGCGGAGCUUAGAGCCUUGAUUUUCUAUAUUAGUCAAACGCACUCACUCUAACAGCGUACCUUUUGCACGAUGGGUCAGCGAGGAAAUGGGAAGAGCGGCUUAAGCCAUUAGGUGUAGGCGCUUUCCAGAGGUGGAAUCUUCUAGUUCUUCCUAUUUGACCCGAAACCGACCGAUCUAGCCAUGAGCAGGUUGAAGAGAGCUCUAACAGGCCUUGGAGGACCGAACCCACGUAUGUGGCAAAAUACGGGGAUGACUUGUGGCUAGGGGUGAAAGGCCAACCAAGAUCGGAUAUAGCUGGUUUUCCGCGAAAUCUAUUUCAGUAGAGCGUAUGAUGUCGAUGGCCCGAGGUAGAGCACUCAAUGGGCUAGGGUGGCCCCAUUUCGCCUUACCAACCCCAAGGAAACUCCGAAUACAGGCCUAGAUCGUUUGUACAGACAGACUUUUUGGGUGCUAAGAUCCAAAGUCGAGAGGGAAACAGCCCAGAUCGUACGCUAAGGUCCCUAAGCAAUCACUUAGUGGAAAAGGAAGUGAUCGAGCGAUGACAACCAGGAGGUGGGCUUGGAAGCAGCCAUCCUUUGAAGAAAGCGUAAUAGCUCACUGGUCUAGCUCCAUGGCACCGAAAAUGUAUCAGGGCUCAAGUGAUUCACCGAAGCGACGAGACCUUGAAAGCAGUUUUUUCAAGUGUCAGUAGCGAAACGUUCUGUCAAUCGGGGAAGGUUUUUAGUGACAAGACCUGGAGAUAUUAGAAGUGAGAAUGCUGACAUGAGUAACGAUAAAUCUAACUUGUUUCGACCUGAGAUAAUAAGCUCAUGAGCUUGGUCUUACUUCACUGUCGAGAAACGAAAGAAGACUUCCAUCUCCAAGUUUAACUCAGACGUAGCUCCCUUCUUUUUGGGUGUGAAGCAGUGUCAAACCAAAAUACCCAACAAGCAUUAGCUCUCCCUGAAAAGGAGGUGAUCCAGCCGCACCUUCCAAUACGGCUACCCUUCAUCAAGAAAGCUUGCAUAAGAGAUCCUUCUUAUUGCUCUAUCUAGAAUGAAAAUCUAAAGAUAAAAAUCAAUGUUAGGCUGUGGGGCCACAAGGGCUGGGACCCCUAAGGAGAGGUCAACGAAUGCUCUUCGAAUUGGUCUAUAGCCGAUGAACCGACCAGGACACCCCCCCUUUCUGCCAUAUCUCUCACUGCCUCAUACUAGCUAUCCCUAGCCGAAAAAAGUAUGAAUAAAGUAGUUGAGUGCCUUUCCUUCCCCUAUAUGUGUUUGCCACCACCCGACUUAAUGGUAAGAAAGCCCGCCUCCUAAGAAUGAAGGAAUGGAUUAAUCACCUUUGGGGCUGGUGGAUGGAUCACCUUUCCUUAACAUAGAUGGUGGAUGGGCUUCACUUAACAAAGAAGAGAAUGGGCCAUAUGGGUGCCUACAUUGUUAGUCUAUUUGAUUUAAGGGAAGAGAUAUUUAUUGAAUAGAAAGAAUGAAACCUGUACCAUCUUAUCGCCAACCGUGCUUCCUACCAACUCCGCCUAUCCCAGACAGUCGGUCCUAUUGAUUUAGCCGCACCUGAACCCGCAACAACUACCUCUAGUCCGAAAGCAACUUACUUUUCUGAUGAAUCUUAGCUUGCUUUUUGAAUACGGUCAAAGUGGGACAUCCCUUGUUCUCGCAUUGCCUUCUUUCCUAGGGAAUUCAAUCACAUCGGAUCAGUGAGCUAAAGUCAGUCCCUCAACAGCUAAAGUAACUGCUUGAUCUGUCACCCUCCGUGAUUCAAGCCUGUCACCAAGCCUUAAGUCAAAAGCUCUGGUUUCAAGCCCAGGGCACCAAGUGAAUCAAAGCAAGAGCUUACUCAGAGCUCGAACUCUAUUUAAAUCAAAGUCAAGCGAAGCAAAGCAAGCCAGCCAAAGAGGGAUAGGCAUGAUCAUUCUAUUCUAAAGGUAGAGAUCUUGAACUAAGGACUGAAAGCUAGAAGUUCUCUAUGUGAACAUAGGAUCCUAUAUAAACAACCAGAAAUCCUAGACUAACUGCUCUAGAGGAAACCAACUGGAGAAAGCCAGAGGAUGGAAGUCACUCAGUUAAGAGGAUUAGGGAAUAAACGAAAGAAAGAAAGCUUAACUCGCUCGAACUUCCGAGGGCCAGUGAACUUCCUGGGGUAUUUUAUUCCUUAGUAGCUUUGACAACAUUCGUCUCUGUGUGAGCCCUCAUCUCAUGCUCCUACUACCUCUUAACUUCAAGUGGGAGUGAUGGACGAGUGAAGAUCGCCAACUCUUUCUUCCCCGUGAAUUGAAUAUCAACUGAAAUCGGGCGGACCGGCUUCUCCCUUUGAGCAUAGCAUGCUUUUGGGGAGUAAGUCACUUAAUAUAGUAUAUUAUGCGAGAAUCGAUUCUUACAUCACAUCAAAAUAGCAUGUCUAUAUACGGAUCCUACAAUUCCCUAUGAAUCUCCCUGACAACCCCUUCAAUCCAUCUUCAUCUUGGCUGGCAGCCUAGAUUGAGCCCUGGGACUGAUCUUCCCGUUGGCUUUACUGCCGCAGUACUCAUAGUGAAAGGUCAGCGGGGGGCAUAGCGAAAUUCCUCACCGAGAUGACUGGACAACCUAUCGACCAGAUCGCACCAGCAGAGCGAUUCAAAGCCUCUUUGGAGCGGUCAUUUCUCAGUCUGUCAAUUUCAGGGUAGUAAGCGCCAGCUGCAAGCUUUCGGUUAAUGCCAUCCAAUCUUCGGUACAAAAUUUCCUUCUUCUAUUUCAUAUUUCCAAACACUUCCUUAUUCCAAAAGCUCAAUGCCUCAAAUAUUGCACCUCUAAUGGAUCACAAAACACCACUACCAAGCAGAUGAGAGGAGAGAGAGAGGAGGGAAGUACUUAGAAUAUCGGCUAGGGUUUCUUCUUGGCGAACAUUGGCCGAAAAUCCUAAGCCUAUGGGGUCUUUAUAUAGCUGAGGGCUGCUAGGUUUUCUGAAGGAAACCCUAAUUUCCUAAUUAAGGCUCAAGCAUCCCAUGGACUCCUACUAACAAGCCUUAGACAAAAUCUAUAGGCCCCCCUAUAGAUUUUCGUCCACUCCUAAUUAAGGAGUCCAUUAGCUCAGUUUCCCAAUUAUCAAUGAUUUGCAAAACAGACCCUGUUCUUUUAAUCAGUUCCUUUAAUCCUAACAUUAAUUCCAAAUUAAAUUCUGAUUAAAUACUAAUUAAAUAACAUGAUUUCUAAUUAAUAUAUUAUUUUCAUAAUACAUUAAUAAAUAAAUUUAUUAUUCCAAAUAAUAAAUUCAACCUCUUUCUCUAAAAGUUAUCCUUUCAAGUUGCUAGGCUGAAGGCAUCCCAAAAAGACCAGGCUACUAUCAAAUCAAGUACAUACCAGUUCUAUUAAUGGUCUUAGACACCUAAUGCAAUAGUCUCCCACUUGGAGAUGUUUAAUAACUAUAGUUGCAAGUAUGAUUUCAAAAUUUAACCAACAAUCGUUGCUUUCAAAAGCCGCAGUCUAACUCUGACCUAGUUAGUUAUGUGUCCUAAAGAUAAGAGAUUAUAUAAUCCUCUGUUCCGCAAGAUAACAUGUGAACAAAGACAUGGAAAAAAUCAUUCUCAUUGUCCAACAAUUUGUUUCCUAAUUUCUGAUUUGUAUGAUGAAGAACUUAAUUGAACACAUCAAUUCAAUCCUGACCGGACCCGUGACAUAAGUCAACACAAAAUCAUCGAGGUUCCAAGAUAUCGCUUUUACCCAUUGGGAUAAAAGGAAAAGAUAAAGUUUGACUUAUAUGAUUGUACUAUUUACUUAUCAAAUGGUACACAACAAUACAUUUUAUAACAUCAAGUUGCUGAUGCAUUUACGUAUUAUCAAUGCACAACCAACUCAUAAACAACAACUCAUAUAUUUCAGUUUAAAGACUAUACGAUAUUAUCUUCUCAUAAUUACUCAUGAUAAAUUCCAUGAAGUAAUUUUAUGAGUGUGGGUUUAAUCGAAUACUCAAAUCCCUAUUUCAAGAUUACUUAUGAAUAUUGCAGCAAACUAUUGCGAUGUCUUCUAGGGAGCAAGUGGCCGAUUUUCCUUAGCCAUGGAGUCCUUAUAUAGGGUAGAGACUAGGGUUUCAGUCCUUAUCCUUAUCUGAUUGCUUGCCCACCAAGCAUCCCAUAAGAUAAGUCUAGAACCUUAUCCAUGGACAAUUUCUAGGGCCUUAUCCCCUUGAAUUCGUCCACCCUAUCCAUAGGGCAUCCAUUGCCCUAAUUUGCAACUAUCACAUAAUUACAAUUCAACCACUCUAGUUUAAUUAAUUACAUUUGAUAACAAAAUUAAUUCUUAAUUAAUUAUUGAUCAAUAUUAAUUAAACAAAUAUGAUUUUUCCUUUAAUAUAUUAUUCUUAUAAUAUAUUAAUAAAUCAUAAUAACCUCUUUCUCUAUUAUUUCUCCAGUAAGGUUGCUUUGGUGAAGGCAACCCAAAAGGACCAUGCACAACUGGGUUAAGUACUUACAAAAUAUGGUUACGGGCUGAGACACUAAUCCAACAGUCUCCCACUUGGAUAAUUCUAGUAACCAUAAAUGCAAGCAUAAAUCAAUUAGCAAUGGUAGCUCUCAAAGAUGCUGUCAAACUCUGAUCUUAUCAGCAACCUGUCCUUUAGAUAAGGGAUCGUAUAGUCCUCUGUUUCAGAUAUCGUGCGGACAAUCUCAUGGAACAUAGUCAUACUUAUUGUCCAGCAGUUUGUUUCUCGAUCUCAAAUUCAUUUGACAUAGAACUUAAUUGAACACAUCAAUUCAGUCCUGACUGGGCCCGACACAAAAGUCGAAUGAAAUCAUCGAGGGGCCCUGAUAUCGCGUUUACCCUGUUAGGAUAAAAGGAACAGAUAAAUUUUGACUUAUAUGCAUUCACUAUUCAUUAAUCAAAUUAUACACAACAAUGCAUUUUAUGACAUCAAGUUACUGAUGCGUUUUCGCAUUAUCAAUGCACUAUCAAUUAGCGAACAAUAAACCUGUAACGCCCCGGGUUUUCUCGGUACGUUUGGUUAUUUUAAUUUAAUUAUCCAUGUAACCUUGGGUUAAUUUAUUUAACCAAUGUCUGAUUUCUUAUGUUAUUGGACUCUUUUGAUCAUCUUGUAAACUCCUUUUAUUGAAGUCCAUGGGCUAUGGGCCUAUUUGCAAAGUCCAUCUAGUUAAUAGUACUUAAUGUGUAAAUUGAAUCAUUUGGAACACACACAAGGAAAACACUCUAAACCCUCCCUCUCUCUCAAAAAUCGUCCCUCUCUCUCUCUUUGGGAUCAAGAGCAGCCAAGGGGCUGUUUGGAGCUUAAUUCUUGUUCAUUUCCAGCCUUGAUUCGUAUUGGUAUGAACCUCCUUAUCCUUUCUUACAACUUGAUUCAUAACCUUGUUCUAGUUUUAUGAUUUCAUCUUCACCUCUUCUCCUUCUUAUUUUAUUUGUAAUUGUAUGUUAUACAUCAUCUCAAGAUCCUAUCUUCACCCCAUAUAUGGUGGAUGAUGGAUCUAGGGGAUUACAUGUGGCAAAAGAUCAUGGAAACCCUAAAAGGGAGAAUGAUGAUUUUAUGUGCUUAUGUUUAUUUUCAUGUUGAUUAUUAUUACAUCCUUGUGGCUAAAUGAAAUCCUAAUGAUCCCUAACCCUUUUUAGUACCACCAUUAUCAUGGGGACUGAAUUGGGAUGAUGAACACAUCUUAAAAUGUGUUUCAAAAGGAGAAGGAUGGAUAAGCCAAAAAGGAAUCACGGGUGGCUACGAUUCUGUUUUCCAUCAGAUCUGUAGUCAUUUUGUAAAAAUCAUAUCUGGAGCUCUAGAACUCAAACGGACCCCAAACCAGUUCCAAAAGUUCACAAAUUGAGUUGGCUAACUUUCUUAAGAAGGCCAACCUCACUGAUAAGGGCUUUAUCUAUGUGAAAGAAUGGCAUCUUUGCUGUUAGGUCUGAUCCGGGUCUGUUCUGAUAUGUCAUUUUGUUUUCAUCAUUUCUAAGGCUUGGAAAAGGAUCCAGAGUGAUUCCAAGUUUCUAUAUGUUCCUUAUAUUAUGAAUUUAAGAUCUGGAGAAUAUGGGGUGUUAUUUCCAAUUAUAAAUUGGUUAGAAUGGAUCCACACUCCAGGUCAGUGGGCAGUCACCAGCUUUUGCUAGUGCUGUGAUUGUCCACAAUGUGAAUUUUAUAUCUGGAGUUUGAGAGAUGCUUUUCAUUCAAUUCCAACUCUGAGACUUUCACUUGUAUGUCCUUUACUUCUCUUAAUUUUCUUUUGGACGAAUUCUACUCACAAGUUGGGUAGAAUUGGCCAACAUCACUUGACUGUAUUGUUGGAGACAGAAGUGAUACACCAUUUUGUAAAAUUCAUAUUUAAUUCAUCUUUUGGAGUUAGAAUGAGUUCUUUAUAGUUAUGGAAUCCUGAGCAAUCAUAGUUUCCUAUAAAAUUUAGUUAAAGCUAUGUUUCUGUUUUAGAUUUUGGAGUAAAUCCGUUUUGAACAGCAGGUCUGUUUUAGAGACCUUGCUGUGAUUACUCUUUUCUCAACUCAUAGCUUCAUUACUUCUCGUUUCUAACCUUUAGUCCUUCUUAGGCGAGGUUUUGAAGUUUGCUCAAGCUUGGUAGCAUUAUUUGAUUGUUAGCCAUCCUUAAUACUCACUCAAGGUGAGUUCUCUCACACCGUUGUAUUGAUGAUUGUGUUUGCUAGUUAGCUCGUGUGUGAUUAUUUGAAUUUAUUAUAAAAGCAUGCUAUAUAAGUAUUGUUUUAAUUCGUACAUGUGCACUGUAUGUAACUAAUUAUGGAUAUGGGGACACCACCAAAGGAUACGGAUUUACCGGUGCGGUGGGUAGGUAAGAUCACCAACGUAAUACUCUUCGUGAGGUGCGGUGAUUAGGGCCAAAUGAUACGGGAUCUUCCCGGUGCGGUUCAAACCUACAAGUCCUUCUCGUAAUAUAGACAUUGAUUCGUUCUUUGCCUUUAUCAUUAUAAUUGGAAAAUGGAUUAGGGCUAGUAAAUAUGAAUGUUAGUACAAUGUCUGUGUUUGAAUUCACUAAGCUUCGUGCUUACGUUUUUCCCUUAUAACUUUUCAGGUGUUAAGAUUAAAGAGGCUAAGGCUUGACAUGGAGCAUCGGGACAUCGCUACUAGUUAUUUUGUUGGGACCUUAUUAUUGUUAUUACUUCCGCACUUAUUUUAUAUGAUUAUUAAGUUGAUGGAUUAUUUUAUGACUAUUUCAGUUGUUUUAAUUUAAUUUAAGAUGGGUUUUAAAAGUUUAAAUUUUUUGCAAAAAAAAAAAAUUGGGUGUCACAAAACCAUAUAUCUUGGUUUUAAGACCAUAUGAUAUUAUCGUCUUGCGAUCACCCAUGAUAAAUUCCUUGAAGUGAUUCCAACAAGCGCGGGUUUAUUCCAAUGCUCUAAACUUAUUCAUAAGCACUCAUGAACGUUGUAGCAAACCCUUGUUAUGUCUAAUGCCUUUCAGACAAUCUACAACAAUUCAUUACAGUCUUCAUUCAUACCUAGUUCCAACAUAUGAACGACUGUGGACCGUUUGAAUAAUUCGCUUAUUCUUAAUUAACACAAUUAUUCAAGAAGUCAAAACAUGCAAAGUGAAAUAAUAGUUAAACAAUUAACAUAAGAUAGAAACUUUAAAUAAUACUCCUUUAUUUAAUCAUCAAAUUUCAAUUACAUUUAUCUAUUACACGUAUCUAAACUAUCUAAUCCAAACUAAUAUCGUCCUUCAGCCCAAUGCUCCUAGAGUGCUGCAAGUGCUUAACCCUACUUAGUCCCUUCGUAAGCGGAUCUACUGGGUUAUCCUCUGAUGAUAACCUCUUUACUAUGAGGAGUCCUUCUUCUACCCGAUGUAUAAAUAAAGUGAUAUUUUCUAUCGAUAUGUCGGGAUCUACCAUGAUCCCUCAGUUCCUUGGUCAAGGCAACCGCUCCGUCAUUCUCAAAGAAAUUUUCCAUAGGCUCUUUUAUGGCAGGUACAAAUACAAGGUCUCCAAUGAAGUUCUUCAACCAUAUCACCUCCUUUGACGCUUUGCUCACUGCAAUGUACUCUGAUUCGGACGUUGAGUCGGCUACGGUUUCUUGCUUGGAACUUUUCCAUGUCACUGCUACUCCAUUAAGGGUAAAGACCCAGCCCGACUGCGAACGAUAGUUGUCCUUGUCGGUCUGGAAACUGGCGUCACUAUACCCCCGCACCUUUAAGUUAUCACUCCCUCCGAGGACUAGAAACCAUUCCUUUGUCCUCCGAAGGUACUUAAGAAUAUUCUUGAUUGCGAUCCAAUGUGCUUUUCCAGGGUUCCCUUGAUAUCUACUGACCAUGCUCAAAGCGAAGGCCACAUCAUGGCGUGUACAAGUCAUAGCAUACAUGAUCGAGCCAACUGCGGAAGCGUAAGGUACUCAGCUCAUCU